rnacentral:rRNA from 1 species
UACGUAGGGGACAAGCGUUGUCCGGAUUUACUGGGCGUAAAGAGCGUGUAGGCGGCCAAACAGGUCCGUUGUGAAAACUGGAGGCUCAACCUCCAGACGUCGACGGAAACCGUAUGGCUAGAGUCCGGAAGAGGAGAGUGGAAUUCCUGGUGUAGCGGUGAAAUGCGCAGAUAUCAGGAAGAACACCAAUGGCGAAGGCAGCUCUCUGGGACGGUACUGACGCUGAGACGCGAAAGCGUGGGGAGCGAACAGG